rnacentral:rRNA from 1 species
CAGUCGCCACGGUAAUACGAAGGGGGCUAGCGUUGCUCGGAAUGACUGGGCGUAAAGGGCGCGUAGGCGGAUGGCACAGUCAGAUGUGAAGUUCCCGGGCUUAACCUGGGGGCUGCAUUUGAUACGUGUUGUCUAGAGUGAGGAAGAGGGUCGUGGAAUUCCCAGUGUAGAGGUGAAAUUCGUAGAUAUUGGGAAGAACACCGGUGGCGAAGGCGGCGACCUGGUCCUUUACUGACGCUGAGGCGCGAAAGCGUGGGGAGCAAACAGGAUUAGAUACCCCAGUAGUCCCUGUCUCUUAUAC